CCUACGGGAGGCAGCAGUGGGGAAUAUUGCACAAUGGGGGAAACCCUGAUCCAGCGACGCCGCGUGAGUGAAGAAUUAUCUCUGUACUUAAAGCUCUAUCAGCAUGGAAGUAAAUGACGGUACCUGACUAAGAAUCCCCGGAUAACUACGUGCCAGCAGCCGCGGUAAUACGUAGGGUGCAAGCGUUAUCCGGAUUUACUGGGUGUAAAGGGAGCGUAGACGGCAGCACAAGUCAGGAGUGAAAUCCCGGGGCUUAACCCCGGAACUGCUUUGGAAACUGUGCGGCUGGAGUGCAGGAGGGGUAGGCGGAAUUCCUAGUGUAGCGGUGAAAUGCGUAGAUAUUAGGAGGAACACCGGUGGCGAAGGCGGCUUACUGGAACAUUACUGACACUGAAACACGAAAGCGUGGGGAGCAAACAGGAUUAGAUACCCGUGUAGUC
rnacentral:rRNA from 1 species